AACGAACGCUGGCGGCAGGCUUAACACAUGCAAGUCGAACGCAUCCUUCGGGGUGAGUGGCAGACGGGUGAGUAACGCGUGGGAACGUGCCCUUCAGUUCGGGAUAACCCAGGGAAACUUGGGCUAAUACCGGAUACGUGCGAGAGCAGAAAGAUUUAUCGCUGAAGGAUCGGCCCGCGUCUGAUUAGCUAGUUGGUGGGGUAAUGGCCCACCAAGGCGACGAUCAGUAGCUGGUCUGAGAGGAUGAUCAGCCACAUUGGGACUGAGACACGGCCCAAACUCCUACGGGGGGCAGCAGUGGGGAAUAUUGGGCAAUGGGCGCAAGCCUGAUCCAGCCAUGCCGCGUGAGUGAUGAAGGCCUUAGGGUUGUAAAGCUCUUUCGUCCGGGACGAUAAUGACGGUACCGGAAGAAGAAGCCCCGGCUAACUUCGUGCCAGCCGCCGCAGUAACAC
rnacentral:rRNA from 1 species